rnacentral:lncRNA from 1 species
AGAAUCCAUGGAAAAAUUGUUAAUACUAUUAGAUGUCAUGACAUUUUUUUUUUUUUUUUUAAUGUAAGAAGUGAUUAGAAUUUAGAUAGGAGUAGGAGCAUUUCAUCCUCUAUUGUAGUUAAAAAGAAAUAAAAAUUAGAGAGGAACAUUUCAAAAUAUAGCAAAAAAAGAAAAAAGGUAUUUACAAAUUAGCAAAAUUAUUAAAUUAUAUGUAUCUUUUUUUUUGUAUGAAAGAGAAUUGCUGGAAUACAAACGUUUUUUAAAAAGAAAAAAAAAAGGGUUGAAUUGAAUGCUCCUCGAUUGUUGUAACAGGCUUUCACGUUCAAUGGAAACAGCUGCAGCACCGUGGGUUUUGUUUAUCGUUUUCAGUGGCGGACGCCACCUCAUCCACAUCCACCUUCUUCUCCCUAACUUCCUUGAAGAAUUUCGUCAGAAACGGCUCGUACUCCGGCAGAACUGCAAAUCCUGGUAAGUAAUUUAUAUCUAUCACAUAAUACCUUCCAUUAUUUCUAUCUCUUAUCAUGUCAAAAUUGAACAGCCUAAUCCCCAUCGCUUCCUUCAACCCUCUCGAUACCUCCCUCACUAUCUUCUCCGGCGGCAUUUCAAUCUCUUCCUCAUCCUCCUUCUUCGCCUCCCCGUUGCAUUUCUCACUCUUCUCCUCUGCUCUAGAUAUCUGCGAAAACUUCAUCGCGCCCUCCGUCUUCUUCUCUAGUUCUUCCUCUGUCUCCUCAACAUCCGGCAGCGAUUUCCGCUUAACACACAUCGAUUGAUCUCCUGCAACGUAGAUUUUGAACAUUACUCCGCCGUG